CUUCUGUUUUGGGCAGCAGUGAAGCAGGAACAUGAAGAUGAAUUGGAAAUAAUUCAUGGGAAAGCAAAAAUAGACCAAGAGACCCAUAUAAUUUGAAAUUCACAAAGACAACGAUCAACAAACCAGCAGAAUUAUAGAUGAAGAAUUGUUCCCUGUUGAAACAGAAUGAGAAAUAGAGGUCUGGAUAAUACAUCGAUCUCGGCUGUCAAGCUGAGGGUUGAUUUGAAGGUUCAUCAUGUCAGUGUGUACUGCAAGAUAAGAAUUCUUACUUACUGGAGGACCAGGUGGGCCAGAAGGAAGCCUGGAAUAGAUACUCCUUGCUUGCAUGGACCUGGAAUGGAAACACAAGUAUGUUGUACUCACUGCAUCACCCUUGGCUCCAGGAGACCCCUGGGGGCCAGGAAGACCCCUAUCACCCUUUUCCCCCUGUUCUCCUGGAGGUCCAAUCAGGCCAAUCAAACCAGGGUGUCCCUAAACAAGAUUUAAAAAUAUAUAGUUAACAUACAUUAAAGUAAAUGCGUUUUGCAAACACAUAAAUUAGACCUUUCACGUUACCACUGUUGCUUGUCAACAAUCAACCUGAAAACAAAUUAUUCUAAAAGUGUGUUUAUUGUAGUUAGAUGGACUUUCAGAUUAUUUGCAAGUUGUGACUGCUUAUGCAGUGAAAGAUCUGAGUGCAAGGUAGUAAGAAACGGGUACAGAAAUCACAGUACCGUGGGUACAAUUUUCAUCCCAGUUUUCACACGUAGCUGCUACCAGCAUCUCAUAAGUCCCACGUGUGAUAUGGGUGCAUAAACAGCUGAUCCAAGCAGACAAAUAAAACCUGCAGUUCACAGGGCACAGUCAUAUUCAUGUCUCUUCCUCUACAGUUUUUCUCUGAUGCACAAGCAAUCAAUAUAUUGUUGGGAUUCCAUAGGAAAAUCCUAUCCUAGAUGUCUCAAUCCAUUAUUUCAAAAGAAAGUACUAUAGCUGUUAAAUAUUUUGUUCUUUUAAA